AGUGAACGCUGGCGGUAGGCCUAACACAUGCAAGUCGAACGGCAGCACAGUAAGAGCUUGCUCUUACGGGUGGCGAGUGGCGGACGGGUGAGGAAUACAUCGGAAUCUACUUUUUCGUGGGGGAUAACGUAGGGAAACUUACGCUAAUACCGCAUACGACCUACGGGUGAAAGCAGGGGAUCUUCGGACCUUGCGCGAUUGAAUGAGCCGAUGUCGGAUUAGCUAGUUGGCGGGGUAAAGGCCCACCAAGGCGACGAUCCGUAGCUGGUCUGAGAGGAUGAUCAGCCACACUGGAACUGAGGCACGGUUCAGACUCCUACGGGAGGCAGCAGUGGGGAAUAUUGGACAAUGGGCGCAAGCCUGAUCCAGCCAUACCGCGUGGGUGAAGAAGGCCUUCGGGUUGUAAAGCCCUUUUGUUGGGAAAGAAAAGCAGCAGGUUAAUACCCCGCUGUUCUGACGGUACCCAAAGAAUAAGCACCGGCUAACUUCGUG
rnacentral:rRNA from 1 species